AUUUACAUACCACUUAGUUAAUAUAAAAC
rnacentral:other from 14 species